rnacentral:ncRNA from 1 species
CUUAUCAAGAGUGGCGGAGGGACCGGCCCUGUGAAGCCCGGCAACCUGCAUUUGCAAGGUGCCAAAUCCGGCGGUGUAAAUCGGAAGAUGAGG